GGACUACCGGGGUUUCUAAUCCUGUUUGAUCCCCACGCUUUCGGGUCUGAGUGUCAGUGUUGGGCCAGAUAGCCGCCUUCGCCACCGGUAUUCCUCCUGAUAUCUACGUAUUUCACCACUACACCAGGAAUUCUACUAUCCUCUCCCACACUCAAGCUAAGCAGUAUCAAAAGCACUUCCUGGGUUAAGCCCAGGGCUUUCACUUCUGACUUACAAAGCCACCUACACCCGCUUUACGCCCAAUAAUUCCGAGCAACGCUAGGACCCCUCGUCUUACCGCGGCUGCUGGCAC
rnacentral:rRNA from 1 species